rnacentral:rRNA from 1 species
GACGGAGGGUGCAAGCGUUGUUCGGAUUGACUGGGCGUAAAGGGCGUGUAGGCGGUUGCCCAGGUCCGAUGUGAAAGCCCGAGGCUUAGCCUCGGAAGUGCAUCGGAAACUAGGCAGCUGGAGCGCGAUAGAGGAGGGUAGAAUUCCUGGUGUAGCGGUGAAAUGCGUAGAUAUCAGGAGGAAUACCGGCGGCGAAGGCGGCCCUCUGGAUCGUUGCUGACGCUGAGGCGCGAAAGCGUGGGGAGCAAACAGG